UACGUAGGGGGCGAGCGUUGUCCGGAAUCAUUGGGCGUAAAGCGCGUGUAGGCGGCUCGGUAAGUCCGGUGUGAAACCUUGGGGCUCAACCCCAAGCCUGCACUGGAUACUGUCGAGCUUGAGUCCGGGAGGGGAGAGCGGAAUCCUAGUGUAGCGGUGAAAUGCGCAGAUAUUAGGAAGAACACCGGUGGCGAAGGCGGCUCUCUGGAACGGUACUGACGGCUGAGACGCGAAAAGCGUGGGGAGCGAACGAGGAAUUGAUGAAAC
rnacentral:rRNA from 1 species